rnacentral:rRNA from 1 species
AGUGGCGGACGGGUGAGUAACACGUGGGUAACCUACCCAUCAGAGGGGGAUAACACUUGGAAACGGUAGCUAAUACCGCAUAACGUCGCAAGACCAAAGAGGGGGACCUUAGGGCCUCUUGCCAUCGGAUGUGCCCAGAUGGGAUUAGCUAGUAGGUGGGGUAACGGCUCACCUAGGCGACGAUCCCUAGCUGGUCUGAGAGGAUGACCAGCCACACUGGGACUGAGACACGGCCCAG